GCUGGGUGCGGUGGCACAUGCCUGUAAUCCCAGCAGCUUGGGAGGCUGAAGCAGGAGGAUCGCAAGUUCAAAGGCAGCUUCAGCAACUUAGUGAGGCCCUAAGCAGCUUAGUGAGACCCUGUCUCUA
rnacentral:sRNA from 1 species